UUCGCCGGGCCGGUUUGUUUUCAAAUAGGAUAAACCCAGCGAGUUCAAGGUACAAAUCGGGGCAUUUGGGUUUCAUAACAGGUAGUUCAACAUGCCCCAGGGGGAACUGGGAUAAACUCUGGGGAAACUGGAGGGUAAAACCGCGAAUUGGGCCAAGAUUUUUGGGAAUGAUUAAGGGUCUCAAAUUUACCAUGGCCCCCGUGGUUGGGACUGGCGGCCGGAUCAGGCUUGUUGGUGAGGGUAAAUGGCCCCCCCAAACCCUAAAACCGGGUACGGGCUCUGGAGAAGGAGAAGCCCGGGAGAUGGGCCAUUGAGGACAAGGGCCCCAGCCCUUAAUGGGGCGCAGCAGGCGCGAACCUUUGCAAAUAAAGCGAAAGCUUUGACCAGGGGUUAUUUUGGAGUGAUUUCCGCUAAAGGGAAGUCUUUUUGGCCCCCUCUAAAAAAUGGGUGCAGAAAUAAGGGGGUGGGGCAAGCCUGGGUGUCAGCCCGCCGCGGUAAAUACCAGCACCCCCGAGUGGUUCGGGACGGAUUAUUUGGGCCUUAAAAGCAUCCCGUAACCGGGUUCUACAAAGUCUUCCGUUAAAUUCCAACUGCUUUAACAGUUGGGCCGCAGAGGAUACUAUAGAGCUAGGAGGCGGGAGAGGCAAGCGGUACUUAGUGGGUAGGGGUAAAAUCCGUUGAUCCCACUGAAGACCACCAAUGGCGAAAGGCGGCUUGCCAGAACGCGCUCGACGGUGAGGGAUGAAAGCUGGGGGAACAAACCGGAUUAGAUACCCGGGUAGUCCCAGCUGUAAACGAUGCAGACUCGGUGAUGAAUAGGCUUCGUGCCUAUUCAGUGCCGCAGGGGAGCCGUUAAGUCUGCCGCCUGGGGAGUACGGUCGCAAGACUGAAACUUAAAGGAAUUGGCGGG
rnacentral:rRNA from 1 species